CAUCUGUGUUUUUCAUAUACAUAUUUAAUAUUUAGUUUCACAUACAUAUUAGUUUGUAAUUAUGUUUCAAUUUAACAUUGUGAAUAACAACCUUAAAGCCAUGUACAUGUGCUUUGAUAACUGUGCUUCAACUGCAUUGAUUUAAGAAGAAUGUAACAAAAAAUAUGUAGAUUUACUGUCAAAUUUCCUUUUAACUUCAGUGUAUUUGCACUUCUUGUUAGACAAAUGCUUAUAAUAGAUGGCAAAGUUCCAAAGUUUAACAAUAAUAUAAAACGGCUAUAUAGUUUUUUUUCACUUCAGCAAAACUUCUUUGUAAAAAUAACAUGAUUUUAUAUUCAUUUAUCCUAUUCUUAACUUGCUUAUUUUAAAUGUGUAUGUGAUAUGCCAGAAGACUAUGAUGGUGAACAACUAGUUAAAAAAAAUAAAAAGACCACAGGUGCUUCCUACCCUACGAUACAGAUGUAGUGGGGUUUUCUCAGAUGAAAUAAUUCACCUUUGUUAAAAGUGAUGAUGUCGGACACAAAUGAUGGAGGCAGCAAUUUAACGAUCUUCAUUCUCUGCUUCAUCCUGGUCGUCCUUGUUCUUCUCCUGUUGUACCUCUACAAGCGACUGAACAAUGAAACAAAGGAUGAAUAUACCAUCCAGCGGCUUGUCUUCAGUGAGGGAGGCCUUCGUGAUCGUGUGAGGCAAGGCAUUGCAGAGGUCCAGACCAGGAUAGGUGACCUGCAUAAGGUCUCAACCCCUUGAUGAAGAGCAAGCUUUGAGCAAUAAUGAAGAUGGGAAUAGUGGCAGAGAAGAAGAACGAGACGAAGAAGAAGAUGCAGGACAAGGUCAAAGGGAAAAUGAGAACAAGACAGAAGAGAAAGAAGAGGAACAUCAAGAUCAUGAUUCAUCAGACGACUAUUCCAGCAUUGACCUAAGGGAGAGAGUAAAGCAGAAUAACAGCAAUGAAGAGGAAAUGAAAGAAGAUGAACAAGAGAAACAAGAGGUGGCAAAAGAUGAAGGAAAAAGAGAUGACAAUAAACAAGAGGAAGAUGUGAAGAAUGAAGAAAGGGUUGGCUUACUUGUAGACUUGAAGGCAUUCUCUGGCAGUGCCAUUUGGUCUGAGGAGAAAAAGGAAGAGACUAAUGUGACAGCUUUGUGAAAUAUAGAAGGCUUUAGCCUAAAUAUGAGGCUCAUUAGAAGAAAAGUCUAGACUUGACGAUGUUUGUCUUGCGAUGAGUGAUUUACCUUUGUCAUUCUUAAAAACCUGAUGCAUCCAUAAUAUCCAUAAGAUAGUUUAUUAUUUUUCUUAUCCAUGGCUUAUUUUAUUAGCAUGUUUUCUGUAAUGGCUGACUUUUUUGUUAUUAGAAUAUUUUUUUCAUAAAAACUGUACAUUUACUUCAAAAUAAAUACCAUUAAAUCAUUCAUUUUGAUUUUUUUUUUAAUGCUAUGAAGCUUCAGACUAAAAUAAAGGCCUAGCGUUUAGCCAUAUUAUUCCCCAAAUGGAAACUGAAUACACGACCAUCUCUUGUUAAUGUUGAUCAGUUUAUUUGCUUGCUUUUGUGCCACACAACAUAUGAACAACGCACAAUAAAAUACAUGCAUGUAGUAUGAUAGAAUAUAAUAGGAUCAACUAUUUAUUGAUGUCAGUAAGCUAUACGGUCGAUGAAAAUAAAAACACCAUUUUAAAAAUUGCAGUGUGUAUUGCAAAUAUGUCACAAAA
ensembl:lncRNA